UCCCACCCCCAUAACACCCUGAUUAUGCCAGAUUUCAUCUGAUCUUGGAAGCUAAGCAGGGUCAGACCUGGUUACCACUUGGAUGAGAGAUGGCCUGGAAAUACUGGGUGCUUUAGGCU
rnacentral:rRNA from 1 species